UGCACUCCAGCCUGGGUGAAAGAGCGAGACUCCGUCUCAAAAAAAAAAAAAGAAACGCUGUUGGGGGCAGGAGCCUGGAUCUCAACCCCUGCAAGGUGGAAAUCUGGCUUCCUCUCACCCAUACGAGCCUGCCAGAGGCAGGAGGCUGACGCCCCGGAGGGACCAGCUGACAUCGGCCUUGAGGGACCAGACUUCUCCAGGCCGGCAACCUUCUCCCAGCUUUGUGAGGUGGAGCCCAACCUCCAGACCAAGAGAGGCCUUCCUGACCUUCAACCCCAUCUCCAGAGCUCCCCAGAGCUGGUCUAGCCCCUCAUCUGACACACAGAGAAACGGAGACCAGGAACCUGACGCUGGUUUCCCUAGCCCAUGUGAGGACCCUGUAGACCAGCUACAUGCACACCCAGUCCAGCCGCCGGACAGCGUUCAGUGGGAAGAGAGCAGACCAUCGUCCACCCACAUUCCAGACUCCAACUGGCAGAGGGGAGGGGACGUUGGGGCUGCAGGGCCACCAAUGUGGACGGGACAGAGCCCCAGGGACAGCCUGUGCUGGGGACGUAUGGGGGCAGGAUCAGACCCCACAGUGCCUGCGGGCCACAAGGCCAAGACAGGAUCUGGUAAGUGACGAUUUGGAGGCUGGUCCUGAGGUGCAAGAGGGAGUGCCAGGGACAGAGAGGGCACCGGGGUGACUACAGUCCCUCCAGACUCACAUCUACCCGCACCUGUGGGUGGGGCCUUAUUUGCAUACAGGGUCUUUGCACACGUGGUUGGUUACAAUGAGGAUGCUGGAGGGGGUGGUCUGUGUCCCUGUUAACAACUCAUGUCCUUAAGAGAAAAGAGGAACGUGGACACCCACACAUCGGGAGACGGCCGCAUGGAGACGGAGCAGAGGCUGGAGUGACGCGGCCGCAGACCAAGGGCGCCUGGAGCCCCGGAAGCUGGGAGGGGCAGGAAGGGUCCUCCCCUGGAGCUACUCCUUGACCUCAGCUUCCUGUGGCCUCCAGGACAGGGACAGGCUGCUCUAAGCCACCCAGUUUGCAGCACUGCUGCGGCCGCCACGAGAAGCUCGUCCAGGGAGGAGGCUGCUCCAGCCCUGAGCCCCACGCGACUCCCGUGAGCACGAGGACUCGGGUGCCCUGGGGGAAAGGUGUACUGGCCAGACUCAGCGCCCUGAGGACGGGGUCGGAACCCAGCGCCCAGGAAGCUCCCCUCCCCCCGACCAAGGACCUCCCUCCAGGGUGUGCCCGGAGGAGGUCAAGACUCCACUGCCCUGAAGCAAACAAGGCGUCCAGCCCGAGCCAGGGUCACACGCCCAACAGGUAGGAUCCAGCAACCCCUGCGCAGCAGCCCCCGCCAUGCGAGGGAGGACCCGGAGUUGAGCGUGGCCCUGCCUGACAUCUGACCCCGCCGUCAGGAGCUCCACCAGGUCAGGGCUGCUCAGCUGACCCCACAGCCCCACCAGGCAUGGUCAGCACGGUGCCGAAUGCAGGCCUGGAAAGGGAAUAAAGGAGGCCCUGGGGAGGGGCCUUGGUGCUUCAUCCCAAGCCAACCCCGAAAGUGGAAGCCACAGGGCCAGGGGGACGUCGUGGCUGAGAUGCGAGCAGGGUGCCGGGCACCCCCAAGGCAGCACUGCUGUCCCUGAGAACAGAAGGAAGUCCAGGCCCAGAGUCAGAGCCAAGUGGAGUAGUGGUGGUUGCUGGCACUCAGUCCCGUACCCUUGGACAGAGCAAGAGUCCCAAGCCAGGAAUGUGAGGCCGAUGCCUUUUAGGAAGAAACCACAUCUGGGGAACCAGACCCCAGAUCCCAGAACCCAGACCUCAGAUCCCAGAUCCCAGAUCUCAGACCCCAGAUCCCAGACUU
rnacentral:lncRNA from 1 species